UACGUAGGGCGCAAGCGUUGUCCGGAAUUAUUGGGCGUAAAGAGCUCGUAGGCGGUUUGUCGCGUCUGUCGUGAAAGCCCACAGCUUAACUGUGGGUCUGCGGUGGAUACGGGCAGACUAGAGGCAGGUAGGGGAGAACGGAAUUCCCGGUGUAGCGGUGAAAUGCGCAGAUAUCGGGAGGAACACCGGUGGCGAAGGCGGGUCUCUGGGCCGAUACUGACGCUGAGGAGCGAAAGCGUGGGGAGCGAACAGG
rnacentral:rRNA from 1 species